UAGAAUAAAAGAGAAAGAAAAAGAAAAGAUAAGGAUUAGAUGAGAAAGGGAGAGAAAGAAGAAAUGGGAGGAAGAGAGGGAGAGAAAAGGGAAGUGGCCGAAGCCCUUGUGUGGGAAGAGGAGGAGAUGGAAGGAUCUCCAUGAAGAAGAAGGAAGAAGGAGAAGAAAAGAAAGGUAUAACAUCUCUCUCUAAUCUCUUUCUAUGGAAUUUUUAUGAAAGGGGGUUUUGAUUUGGAUGUUCAAACCCUUAAGAUCUAUGUGUUUUCUAUGGAUUUAUGUAUGGAUUUACUCAUUUUUGAUGUUGAUUUGGGUGAAUCAAAAGAAUAAAGAAAAUUUAUUUUCUAGUUUUGAAUCCGAAAUUUCCUAGUACUUUGAAAUUUCACCGUUUUAAAUCUAUGACUUCUUUUUGCGAUCCGUCAAAAAGGGAUGUUAGAUAUAUGUGUUUAGUAGUUAACCCAAGUGGUAGUACUCAAAAAUGUUGAGUUUACAUGGGGUAGUGACUGAUUUGGUGAAAACAGUUCCGUUUUUAUAACCAAAAAUGGGCAGAUUCGGGGCAGUCAGUAGCGAGGGCAAUUUCGUCCAGUUUUUGUGCUUUAAAAAUUCUGGGCUUUUGGUAUGUUGUAGUACUCUGAUUUAGCUUUCCAUAGACUCCGGAACGGACUAAUUCCGAUUCCGGAUGAGGUAGUUAUGGCGUUCGGGAGAUGUGUAUCAAAACUGUUAAUCAAAUUCCGAACAGCCACCUUUGUGUAAAUUUCUGGACUGAUGUGUUAUGAUUUUGGAAAAAUGUCGUGAGACAAAAGUUGUAGCCCUGGAAGUUAUCUUCGCGUGGGCUCAAGAAUCGCUCAAAAAUGUUUUAAAACGCGAGAGUUAUGGCUGUUUUAGUGAGGCUGGGUAAAAAUUUUAAAAAAAAUCAAAAGUGUCCAAAAAUAGGAAAAAUGCGAUGUAUGAAGUGAGACCCGUGAGCAUGGCGUAUGCAAGUUUGUAAUGAAGUUUUGGGUCGGGUUUAAGGUGUUGUGAUGUUUAUGACAUUUUAAAAUGUUUAAACAAGUUUAUUAAUUACGGGAAGGAAAACAAUUGAAAUAAUUGUUUAUUUAAGUGAUUAAUGACAUAAAUUAUUUUUAUGUGACUAAUAAUAUGGUAUUGAGAUAUUAUUAGUAGUAUGUGACUGGAAUGUUAUUAAAAGGUUAGUAACCUUAGCGUAAAAUAUUAUUACAUAAUUAAUAAUAUUUGACGGGAGAUUUAAUAAGAGAUUUAUGAUAUUUUUCAAUGUAAUUGUUGAAAUUGAUAUUCAAUGAAGUAUAUUAUGUGUUUGGGCAUAUGAUAGAGAAAUAAUAAGUCAUAAUAAUCUAAUAAAGUCUUAUGGUGCGAAAUUUGACUAUAAGUAAUAUUUUAUGCCGAGAAACUUUCUUUCAGGCAUAAAUAAAGCAAUAAAAAUAUGUAAUAAAUAUAAAUUACAUAUUUAAGCGAAAAAUAUAUAUAUAUAUAUAUAUAGUUGCCUAUAAAAAUUAUUUUGUGGUGGAACAAAGAAUGUAAAACCUUUGAAAUAUUGUAUUAAUCAUAAAAAUGAUAUUUUGAGGUUUUCGGUGCUCAAAAUGAAGUUUUUGAGCUGAGAUUUACGUAACGAAGCAAAAAUGCGAAUAAUCGUAAAAUGAAAAAUAAAGCGAAUGUGCUAGUGAGAUAAAAUGUUUAUAUAUGAGGCAAUAGUCAGUGUUGACUCAUGAACGGACAAACUGAAGUAAAAGUUAUUUAAAGUGAAGAAAUAAUAUAGUAAAUUGAUUUUUACUAUAAAAGCUAUACAUUAGCUGUUUAAACUCCGAAUUUGCGAGUAGAGGUAAAAGAUAUUUCUGAAAUGAAAUUUAAAUGGUUUAAGUUUCAAGAUGUAAAGUAUUUGCAUCUUAAAAUGUGUGAGACCUUUAUUAUUUAUGAAACAAGUAAAAUAUUAUUACAUGAUUAAUAAUAUUAGAAGGUGAUUACAAUAUUAUUAAAUGAUUAAUAAUAUUAGUAAAGGAUUUAAAUAUUAUUAAAUGAUUAAUAAUAUUUGUAAAUGAUAAAUAUUCUAUAAAAAGAAUAUUAGGCAAAAGUUUAAGAUAAUGGAUAAGUGAUAGUAAUAUUAUUAAGGGAUAAUAAUAUUACUAAUGAGUUAAAGAAUUAUUUAAUGUUUAAUUAUGUGGCUAAAUGUUAGCUAAUUUAUUAUUUGAGUAAUAGUGUUGUGGGAUAAAAUGUAUUAUGCUAAUUGGAGGAUCGAUCUUAUUAAUGAUAGGUCUUUUAUAAGAGAUUAAAUUGAUUGCUUAGCGGUAAUCAACGGUACAGGCAAGUUCCUAAACUUGAACUUCUAAUUAUUGUGCAAGUUUCCUAACUCAACUUGAGUUAAUUCAAAGCAUGUUAGUGGUUAAUUAUUGUUGAUUAUACCACGUCAAUAAUUUAUUGAUUCGCACAUUGUGCAUGUUGUUUAUGUUCAUCAGGUAUGAAAGGCUGAUCACCUUCAUUACCAUAGGUUUCAGUUAAACUUGUUCAUGUUAAUUGUUGACAUCCAAUAUCAUUGGUUCAGUCAUUCAAUCAUUGAAACUUGAUUCAUGUUAUUUCACAAUUAUUAUAUUGUUGAAAACUUGAAAGCUUAUUCAUUCUUUUCAAUCAUGAUAUAUCUCCAUUGUAUGUAAAACUUGCUGGGCAAAUUUGUUGCUCACCCUUGCUAUAUCAUGAUAAAAUUUUCAGAUUAAGAUGAAGGCUUGAAUAAGGACAGAGGCAAAGACAAAGUGCAAAGUUUUUUUUUAUGUUGCAGUUAGAUUUAUUAAAUUUUCUGACGAAAAUAGUAUUGUAAACCUUUUUAAUAUUGAAGGUAUGUAUUAAGUUAAGGUUGUAGACCUUGGGACUGAUGUGUAAAGUUUAAUGUAUAAACAAUGUAUGUUUAUAUCUUCCGCAAUAGUUAUAGAAAUAGCGUACCGGAUCCGCGGCGAUUUGGGACCCGGAUUCGG
rnacentral:lncRNA from 1 species